AUGGCCCAAAAGGGAAUGUAUCCUGAUCCCAGGCGCUGCAGGGAAACACCUUUUGGAGAUGGAGACUCAUUCACACAUCCAGCCCGCAAGCCUGUGCGGAACCUGCUGCUCCUGGGCCCUGGCUUGGAGGCACCACAUCGCCCUGUGCCCACCUGGGCCUGCCCUGACCACCACAAGGGUGGCUGUCACCAACCCUGCUUUCUCAAGGGGACGGCUGAGGCCAGAGGGGGUGCGGGUGGGGUCACUUGCCGGAGGUCACACAUCUGGUUAGUAGCAGGGCAGAGAUUUGAAUCUGGGCAUCCGAGUCCAAGCCCCACCUUCUCCAGCUGCUGCCCACUGGCCUGCAGCCCCACGGGCUCCGGGGACAGCAGGGCUGAGAGGCAUCUGGGCCGCAGCUGUGUGCCCCCUGCCUCCCCUUGGCACCCUAAGUCUGCGAAGAUCUCAGCUCCCUUUCUCUGUCGAGGUCUCUCUCUGCUCCUUGUUUUUUCAUCUCUUCAUCCUUGUCUGUGCCUGUGUUUCUGUGUCUCACUCUCCAGCCCUCCUAGUCUUCUGUCUCCCUGCCCGCCCCCCCACCCCAUUCCCGUCUCUUCCUCCCCUCGGAGAGGCUCAGCGGCCCCUCAUCUGCCCUCACUCACCUCUGUGCCCACCUGCCCACGGCCGCCAGCAGCCCCUUCCCCUCCCAGCCCGGCACCUCUCGGGUCUCGGCAGGCCUGCCACUCGCCCUCUGGCCACAGGCCCAGCGCAGGGGCCUUAUCAGGGCCCGUGGGUGUGGGAGCCCAUCAGAGAAACUGGAAGCGCUUCCCUUGGUGUUUGGCCGCAGCGGCCUCCCCCACGGCCCACCCUGACAGUCCAGAUGGGCAGCCCAGGUGGGAGGCCUCUCCUCCCACCCCCUCCAACCUCGGAAAGAGGCUGCCUCUCCCCCAGAGGGCAGCCUGGUGCAUGGCUGCACAGACUGAGGUCCAGACCGAGGCAGUGACCCUGCCUCCGCCACAGAGGAGAGGGGGCUCUCCUGCAGGUAGUGGGUCCCCAGAGCCUAGAACCCUGCCUGGCCGUCACGUGCCUCAUGCCUCACCCCUCUGUGGCCUCACUGUGGAGAUCUGCAAAUGGAGGCUCACUCAGAGGGAUGAAGUGGCCAAGCCAGGCUCACACGGCCUUUAA
rnacentral:lncRNA from 12 species